UCAAAGGCGUGACGCGGACCGAACUAAAGUAGGGAAGCAUCUGAUUCCAGCUGCCGAGAAAAGCCGCUAUUGUGUACCAUGUGCCCGUACCGUAAACCGACACAGGUGGAUGAGGAGAGAAUCCUAAGGCCGGCGGGAGAAGCAUUGUUAAGGAACUCGGCAAAAUGACCCCGUAACUUCGGGAUAAGGGGUGCCAGAGAGAUCUGGCCGCAGAGAAUAGGCUCAAGCAACUGUUUAGCAAAAACACAGGUCUAUGCGAAACCGUAAGGUGAUGUAUAUGGGCUGACGCCUGCCCGGUGCUGGAAGGUUAAGAGGAGAGGUUAGAGCAAUCGAAGCUUUGAAUUGAAGCCCCAGUAAACGGCGGCCGUAACGAUAACGGUCCUAAGGUAGCGAAAUUCCUUGUCGGGUAAGUUCCGACCCGCACGAAAGGCGUAAUGAUUUGAGCGCUGUCUCGACAAUGCACCCGGUGAAAUUGAAAUACCAGUGAAGAUGCUGGUUACCUGCGCCAGGACGGAAAGACCCCAUGGAGCUUUACUCCAGCUUGAUACUGGGAUUCGGUAAUGCAUGCACAGGAUAGGUGGGAGGCUACGAGUACGGAACUCCGGUUUCGUAUGAGCCGCUGUUGGGAUACCACCCUUGCGUUACUGGGUUUCUAACCAUGGUCCAUGAUCUGGAUCGGGGACAAUGUCAGGUGGGGAGUUUGACUGGGGCGGUCGCCUCCGAAAGGGUAUCGGAGGCGCUCAAAGGUUCCCUCAGAAUGGUUGGAAACCAUUGAAGAGUGCAAAGGCAGAAGGGAGCUUGACUGCGAGACCGACGGGUCGAGCAGGUAGGAAACUAGGACUUAGUGAUCCGGUGGUAUGAAAGUGGGAUUGCCAUCGCUCAACGGAUAAAAGCUACCCUGGGAUAACAGGCUUAUCACUCCCAAGAGUUCACAUCGACGGAGUGGUUUGGCACCUCGAUGUCGGCUCAUCGCAUCCUGGGGCUGAAGUAGGUCCCAAGGGUUGGGCUGUUCGCCCAUUAAAGCGGUACGCGAGCUGGGUUCAGAACGUCGUGAGACAGUUCGGUCCCUAUCCGGCGCAGGCGGAGGAUAUUUGAGAGGAGCUGUCCUUAGUACGAGAGGACCGGGAUGGACGGACCGCUGGUGUACCGGUUGAGCUGCUAAGCUCAUGGCCGGGUAGCCAAGUCUGGCAGGGAUAAACGCUGAAGGCAUCUAAGCGUGAAGCCCCCCUCAAGAUGAGAUAUCCCAUUCGAAAGAAGUAAGACCCCUUGAAGACGACGAGGUAGAUAGGGCAGAGGUGGAAGUGCAGUAAUGUACGGAGCUGACUGUUACUAAUCGGUCGAGGGCUUAUCU
rnacentral:rRNA from 1 species